rnacentral:rRNA from 1 species
ACUCCUACGGGAGGCAGCAGUAGGGAAUCUUCCACAAUGGACGAAAGUCUGAUGGAGCAACGCCGCGUGAGUGAAGAAGGGUUUCGGCUCGUAAAACUCUGUUGUUAAAGAAGAACAUAUCUGAGAGUAACUGUUCAGGUAUUGACGGUAUUUAACCAGAAAGCCACGGCUAACUACGUGCCAGCAGCCGCGGUAAUACGUAGGUGGCAAGCGUUGUCCGGAUUUAUUGGGGCGUAAAGCGAGCGCAGGCGGUUUUUAAAGUCUGAUGUGAAAGCCUUCGGCUCAACCGAAGAAGUGCAUCGGAAACUGGGAAACUUGAGUGCAGAAGAGGACAGUGGAACUCCAUGUGUAGCGGUGAAAUGCGUAGAUAUAUGGAAGAACACCAGUGGCGAAGGCGGCUGUCUGGUCUGUAACUGACGCUGAGGCUCGAAAGUAUGGGUAGCAAACAGGAUUAGAUACCCUGGUAGGAUAGCG